GAUGAACGCUGGCGGCGUGCCUAAUACAUGCAAGUCGAGCGAACAGACGAGGAGCUUGCUUCUCUGACGUUAGCGGCGGACGGGUGAGUAACACGUGGAUAACCUACCUAUAAGACUGGGAUAACUUCGGGAAACCGGAGCUAAUACCGGAUAAUAUAUUGAACCGCAUGGUUCAAUAGUGAAGGACGGUUUUGCUGUCACUUAUAGAUGGAUCCGCGCCGCAUUAGCUAGUUGGUAAGGUAACGGCUUACCAAGGCAACGAUGCGUAGCCGACCUGAGAGGGUGAUCGGCCACACUGGAACUGAGACACGGUCCAGACUCCUACGGGAGGCAGCAGUAGGGAAUCUUCCGCAAUGGGCGAAAGCCUGACGGAGCAACGCCGCGUGAGUGAUGAAGGUCUUCGGAUCGUAAAACUCUGUUAUUAGGGAAGAACAAAUGUGUAAGUAACUAUGCACGUCUUGACGGUACCUAAUCAGAAAGCCACGGCUAACUACGUG
rnacentral:rRNA from 1 species